rnacentral:pre_miRNA from 1 species
CAUAUACUCCCUCCGUUCCAAAAUAGAUGACUCAACUUUGAAAAUAGAUGACUCAACUUUGUACUAAAGUUAGUAUAAAGUUGAGUCAUCUAUUUUGGAACGGAGGGAGUAACUG